CCCUUAGAUGUUCUGGGCCGCACGCGUGCUACACUGAGUGGAUCAGCGGGUCAGGUUGCGCGAAAGUGUUUCCUAAUCUUGAAAUCCGCUCGUGAUGGGGAUUGACGGUUGCAAUUUUCCGUCAUGAACGAGGAAUACCUUGUAAGCGCGGGUCAUCAUCCCGCGCUGAAUACGUCCCUGCCCUUUGUACACACCGCCCGUCGCUCCUACCGAUUGAAUGAUCCGAUGAAUAUCAUGGAUUGAGGAUGCAAGCAGGUUCGCCUGUCUUCAUCUUCGAGAAGUGAAGUAAAUCUUAUCAUUUAGAGGAAGGAGAAGUCGUAACA
rnacentral:rRNA from 1 species